AAUGACGGGCUUGACUUACCCGAAGGGAUUUCUCUAGUUUUGCUGAGAAACGGCGACCACAUCUAGGAAGGCAGCAGGCGCGCAAUUACCCAAUCCUAAUACAGGGAGGUAGUGACAAGAAAUAACAAUACAGGACUUUUUGGUUUUGUAAUUGGAAUGAGUUAAGUAUAAACCCCUUUACAAGUAUCAAUUGGAGGGCAAGUCUGA
rnacentral:rRNA from 1 species